CCUACGGGUGGCUGCAGUGGGGAAUAUUGCACAAUGGGCGCAAGCCUGAUGCAGCCAUGCCGCGUGUGUGAAGAAGGCCUUCGGGUUGUAAAGCACUUUCAGCGGGGAGGAAGGCGUUAAGGUUAAUAACCUUGUCGAUUGACGUUACCCGCAGAAGAAGCACCGGCUAACUCCGUGCCAGCAGCCGCGGUAAUACGGGGGGUGCAAGCGUUAAUCGGAAUUACUGGGCGUAAAGCGCACGCAGGCGGUCUGUCAAGUCGGAUGUGAAAUCCCCGGGCUCAACCUGGGAACUGCAUUCGAAACUGGCAGGCUAGAGUCUUGUAGAGGGGGGUAGAAUUCCAGGUGUAGCGGUGAAAUGCGUAGAGAUCUGGAGGAAUACCGGUGGCGAAGGCGGCCCCCUGGACAAAGACUGACGCUCAGGUGCGAAAGCGUGGGGAGCAAACAGGAGUAGAUACCCCAGUAGUC
rnacentral:rRNA from 1 species